rnacentral:tRNA from 1 species
GUGGAUGUAACUCAAUGGUAGAGUGUGAUCUUGCCAAGGUUAAAGUUGAGGGUUCAAGUCCCUUCUUCCACU